ACCAAGAUCACGUUGAUACCCGGUGACGAAUUUGCGGUCGCUGCAUACCUCACUAUGAACACAUUGCACUGUUUUGAAAAAUUCAGAAUACACCCUACGGGGGAUCCUGGACGCUACGAAGAAUUCCACUGCACAAAUUCUGGUUGUGAAUGCCCGGAUAAACCCUGUGAUGAAACCAUAACGAUGGUAGUAUCUGAUUUGCAAGACCAUAAUCCAGAUGAGUACCAAGAGUGCAAGGGGAUGCUAGGGACCAAUGCGGAGUUCAAAGUUAGAGAUGUAGUAGAAUAUGACAUAUACGAACUGGCAGUCGCUGGUCAUGUUGCAGAAAUUGCGGAGGGUCAAGAAAACGGCGGAGAGGAUCAAGAAAACGGCGGAGAGGGUCAGUACUCACUCGCAGUAUGUCAUUCCAUCAAUGUUGUCCUCUCGGUGACUAGUCUCCUGAUUGCCUUCUUCUUGCAGAUGUAGUAGAAUAUUGGAUGUGCGAACUGGUAGUCGUUGGUUAUGUUUCAGAAAUUGCGGAGGAUCAAGAAAACGGCGGAGAGGGUCAGUACUCACUCGCAGUAUGCAUCACUCCAUCAAUGCUGUCCUCUCGGUGACUAGUCUCCUGAUUGCAUUCUUCUUUUAGGAUAAUAGCAAAUAGGUUGUGCGGAAAAUGACAUUGAUGUGUAAUAUAUGGUUCACGGAAAGACAGUUUUUAGUUUAAGGGGGAAUUUUUAGGUAUUUCUUGUCAAUUUUGUUGUAGUAAAAUUAAAACUUGUUUAAUAUAUAAGGGUGUGUUCAGUCCGCAUUUGGGGCUUACUUAAUAAUUGGUAAACAUGUGCAUGGUAUUUUGAAGUCGGGCGAUGCAGCCCUGAGAUUUUUUAGUCGCAUAUUUGGCGCUUACUUAUAUUACUAAC